GACGAACGCUGGCGGCGUGCUUAACACAUGCAAGUCGAACGGAAAGGCCCUGCUUUUGUGGGGUGCUCGAGUGACGAACGGGUGAGUAACACGUGAGUAACCUGCCCUUGACUUUGGGAUAACUUCAGGAAACUGGGGCUAAUACCGGAUAGGAGCUCCUGCUGCAUGGUGGGGGUUGGAAAGUUUCGGCGGUUGGGGAUGGACUCGCGGCUUAUCAGCUUGUUGGUGGGGUAGUGGCUUACCAAGGCUUUGACGGGUAGCCGGCCUGAGAGGGUGACCGGCCACAUUGGGACUGAGAUACGGCCCAGACUCCUACGGGAGGCAGCAGUGGGGAAUAUUGCACAAUGGGCGGAAGCCUGAUGCAGCAACGCCGCGUGCGGGAUGACGGCCUUCGGGUUGUAAACCGCUUUCGCCUGUGACGAAGCGUGAGUGACGGUAAUGGGUAAAGAAGCACCGGCUAACUGCGUG
rnacentral:rRNA from 1 species